GUCACGUAGGUGGUGUGGUAUGUGUGAUUAUGUGCUGGCUUUUGCACUCAGUCUGGAAUCUUGUGUAUAUAGAGAACAGCAGAGCUGCUCACUUCCAACAGGAACACAUUGAGAAUCACUGCCCUCUACUGAGCAUCUCCAUCUACAGCAAAUCCCAGCCGUCUACUGAGCAUCUCCAUCCACAGCAAAUCCCAGCCCUCUACUGAGCAUCUCCAUCCACAGCAAAUCCCAGCCGUCUACUGAGCAUCUCCAUCCACAGCAAAUCCCAGCUGUCUACUGAGCAUCUCCAUCCACAGCAACCAUGGACUCUCAGGACUGCAAAUGCGCACAAGGCGCCCCCUGUACCUGCCAGGAUUCCUGUAAGUGUCAGGAUUGCCAAUGCGAGUCAUGCAAUAAAAGCAGCUGCUCCUGCUGUCCAGACAAGGGUGGUAAAUGCAACGAGGGCUGUCAAUGUGCCAGCGAAUCUGAGACCUGCAAAUGCUGCAAGUGACCAGUGCUUCAAUGAGGAUGGAAUUCAUAACAAUUUAUUCUGUAUAUUGUGAUGUGCUAUGUGAUCUACAUGUUUAGUAUAACCUGAUGCCUGCAGUGUUAGUAUGAUGUCUGGGACAAUGCUUCAGCACUUGUGUUUCUUAUUAAAGGUGUCUAUAAAGUAUGAGUCAAAUGCCAUCCAU